GGUUCGGUAGCUCAACUGGAUAGAGCAUCAGCCUUCUAAGCUGAGGGUUCUGGGUUCGAGUCCCAGCCGAAUCA
rnacentral:tRNA from 1 species